rnacentral:rRNA from 1 species
GACGAACGCUGGCGGCGUGCCUAAUACAUGCAAGUAGAACGCUGAAGAGAGGAGCUUACUCUUCUUGGAUGAGUUGCGAACGGGUGAGUAACGCGUAGGUAACCUGCCUUGUAGCGGGGGAUAACUAUUGGAAACGAUAGCUAAUACCGCAUAACAAUGGAUGACACAUGUCAUUUAUUUGAAAGGGGCAAUUGCUCCACUACAAGAUGGACCUGCGUUGUAUUAGCUAGUAGGUGAGGUAAUGGCUCACCUAGGCGACGAUACAUAGCCGACCUGAGAGGGUGAUCGGCCACACUGGGACUGAGACACGGCCCAGACUCCUACGGGAGGCAGCAGUAGGGAAUCUUCGGCAAUGGGGGCAACCCUGACCGAGCAACGCCGCGUGAGUGAAGAAGGUUGUCGGAUCGUAAAGCUCUGUUGUAAGUCAAGAACGGGUGUGAGAGUGGAAAGUUCACACUGUGACGGUAGCUAACCAGAAAGGGACGGCUAACUACGUG